AAAUAUGAAAGUGAUUUUAAAAAUUCUUUUAAUUAUUUGAUAAUGAUAAUAAAUAUUUUUACGAGAUUUAUAAAAAUAUCUCGGUGAUGUUUUGAAAAUAUUUUGUGGCAAGUUAUACCGUAAAUUGUUAAAAAGCGGGUUACAAUUUCAAGCACCGCCUAUGUAUAUACACAAACAACAGUUCCUCUCUGUAUAGUCUCCCUCCCUCUCCUAAGUCUCUCUCAUCUCUUUCAAUUUCUACCGACUCUGUCUCUCACUCCAACAACAGUAUUGCUCCGCUUUCCCCCGAUAGUCGCCGCCGUCCGGUUUUACGAGCCACUGUUGAAUCAUCCCGCAGCAACGCCUUCGAUUUCAAUUGGUAUACGUAUACCUCAGUUCUGCUUUGUAAAUCAGUUGUUUAACCGUUUAUUUUUGUUUCAAUUUGAAUUAUUCAAUCGAUUGCUAUGUGUGUGUGAGCAGUUGAUUUGUGUGGGUAUAAACCGAGUUUAUGUGUAUGUAUUAACAGGUUGUAUAGUUGUGUUUAUAAAAACAAAUCAGUUGUGUGAUGUAUUUAUAUAUAUGUAUGUGUGUGUGUAUUUACAUACAUGGUAAUCGAAAUUACAUUUGGGAGAAUUGUGUUUAUAUGUAUGUAUAAUUGAUGUGUGUGUAUAAUCUGAUUUAUGUGACAUCUGUGUUGCUAUGUGUUAGUUGAGGCUAGUAGUAAAGUGGUUGAUUAAGGGUAUUUUAAGAGUUAAGUAGUGGUUUAAAGAUUUAGAACUAUUCAUACUUGAGUUGAAAGUUUUGGCCGUUGCUGGUCUGUCUUGCAGCAAAAAUCUGGGUCAAUUGAGUUGAGUUAUGUGCUUAAUAUUCCUGUGAUAAUGUGCUACUUGGAGUCUAGAUCAAGUACGAAAAAGAAUUUCAAAGCUUCGUUAAACGAGCUAAAAGAUAUGUAUGUUUUAGUACAAGGCGCGCUGAAAAUUCUGGGCAGUCUUGUCCUGUUCCAUGCCCUGUUUUGCUAUCUUAAACUCAAGCUUUGCUUUUGAAAUUUUUACUAUAGUUAGAUGUUAGUGUCUGGAUUAUGUCAUUAAAAUUUUAUACAAAUAGACCAGUUUUUCUAUUUAUUAAAAUUCUUAGCGUGGGGCUGGUUCUGCAGGACAGAUUCAGGUCCUGACUUGCAGGCCUUGUUUUACUCCCUUAAACAUUGAAUUUGCUUCUGAAAUUUUUGUAGUAGAUUUGAAUAAUGUUUAGGAAUGUCUCAUAAAAUUUUUAUAUUAAAAUGAUAAAUUUUCAUUUUAUUAAAAACACAGAGUGAGGACUAUUUGAACUAUUGUCUAGUUUUCUUUCUUUGUUAGUGCAUAUUCGGAGUUUAUGUUUGAUUGAUUACAUAUAAUUGAUAAAUGGAUUCUUGUAGUGAUGGUAGCUUGUUAUUUGUUUAGCUUGAUUUCAUGUUCGAAUAUAGAGGGCUUCAUGAGUUUUACUUGAUAUAUAUGGAAAGUUAUUUAAAAGUAAAAUUGAAAGAUGUAGUGAUUAAAGAUGAGUUUGACUUUUAAUAGUUAUCAUUAACUAUAUAAGUAAGAAUGAAUUGAGAUUAUACUUGCAUAACUUGAAUUAUAUGUUGAUGCAUAUAAAUUGUAUAGAUAUGAUUAGUGAAUAAAGGAUUUGGACGUUAGUUUGGAGUAUAAUAUGACAUUAAGUUGGGAAUUGAUAAUUACCGAAGUAUAUUUGUUGAGUGACUGAUCUUGUAUCUUGCUCUGUGUUUUAUUUGAUGUUAAAUUAGUAAUUGCUGAGUAUUGAGUUUGGAUUGAGUUGUUGAUUGCUACAUAGUAUAGAAAAACAGGUGGAUAGUCUGAUAAAUAAAGGAGAUGCUGCAGAAUUUUUGUUAGAAAUUAUAUAUGAUUUGCUUAUUGAAUGAUAUUUAAUAGUUAAUAGCAAAUUAGUAUAAUUAAACCGAAUUGUGUUUAUGUGUUAAGUGAUCACUGGUAACUUUUGGUAGCUAAAAGGUUAUGUGUUUAACUGUGUGUUACGUGUUUAACUGACUCAAGGUGUAUAUACAUUAUAUAAUUAUCUAUUCAUAAAUAUGCGAAGGGUAGAUGAUUACAGACUUUGGUAGUUAUUCCGAAUUAGUUAAUAUCGCCUGGCGACUGAAGUAUCGUUUAACUCUCGUAUAGAGUCGACUAAGACAUGCUUGGCAAGUACACUCAAAAGUAGUCGUAGAGUUCAGGAUAACCCGAUAAGGCGAAGUUGCUCCAAGAGAAAGUCUAUCAGAGUAUAGUCAGUACGGAAGUUCGCAGUAUUGAGGCAAGUAUUUCUACCUCUCUCUUAUAUUGGAAAGAUCAAGUAUACAGUUCUUUUAUUCAAAGAAAAGUGUUCAUAUCCAUAUCCCGUAUUUUAGAAUUUCUGUCAGUACUUUUACCUUUCUCUUGCAAAUUAGAAGCAAGUGCACGUUCCUUUUACUUACUGCAAAUGCAUGACUGAGGUGCGAUUUUGAUUUGAAAGGUUGACUUACCAAAUUGAUGCAUAUGAUUUCAAAAUCUCUAUAAAUGGUUUUCAUAACUCGGUUUAGUUCCUCUGUAAGGCUUAUCUGUUAUAAGUAUACUUCUAAUGGAAUAAACCUUUUCUUGAAAAUGUUAAAGCUGUAGUUUUGAAACCUAUAUUGGGUAGGUUUGCGUAAGAGGCCCAGACACCGGCCCAGCGUGAAAGGUGGCUCCUUCAGCCCGGAAUACCGGAUUUCGUAAUAUUUGUGUGGCCUAGCUUGAAAAAGACUAGGUUCCAUGGACUAUAGUGCGACUGAUCAUCGGCUAUAGCAUGGUGUCUUAUUUAAAAACCCAAUGAAACAAUGAAUAGUUUGAAAAAGAGAUUAUCUUAUGUUGAAAAGAUGAUUGAUUUCAUUUUUAACUCUACAGCUUUAAGUUCAUAUAUUGAUGCAGAACUGUUUUAUCAUCGUGUACCAUUUUACUCUUUUUAUAUCAUACCCUGGUACUGAACUGUUGAUUUACAACAUCAUUAUUUAAUCCAGAGUUUACUUUUACUUCAAACAUUCCGAUUCACUUAAAUUUGUAUAUCUUGUGGCUUUCACCUAUCAUAUUCUUGCUGAGCAUUAUUGCUCAUUCUUGCUAUUCCUUCUAACCCUUUUCAGCUAGGAAUAAAGAUGAUUCACUUAAGACUAGACAAGGAUUGCAAGUGGUUAAGUUUCAAGCAAAUGGUCAGGUAGAGUAUGCAGGACGAUGUCAUUAAGACUAGAUGCAGUUGGAGUUCUGCAAUUCAAUUCAGUUGGAAAUUAGAUUUGUUUAUUUGGUUAUCAGCUACUCUUCUUAUCGAGGUUUAGCUGAUAAUGUAGUUUAAUUUGUAAUAAAGAUUUAAUAGUUUUAGUUUCUGAUUUCAAUACUGUAACCUGUAUGCGAUCCUGUUUUCAGGGGGUGAAAUUGAUUUUCAAUUUGAAUCAUUUUUUAAAAAAAAUAUCCAGGUUCUGAAAUACUUGUUUUUAUUUUCUUUCAAAAAUACAGGUUUUAAAUUAUUUUUAUUUACACGUGGCACCAAAUCCAGACCCCCGGAUUUGAGGGCUGUCACACAAGAUCUUGAUUUAAAUUUAUAAUUAAAAUGAUAGUUUGAUUAAAUGUUCCAAAAUCAGUUGGGAUAAAUAUAUUUUUUGUAAAUUAACCAACUAUUAGCAUUUAAUAUUUUUUGUAUGAAUAUAUUAGUUAAAAAACUUUUGUGAAUGAGGGGUAAUAAAUAAGUGAAAAGUGUAAUUAACAUAAAUAUUAAUGUGCAAAUACCUUAAUCAAUGAUAUUUAAUAUGUUGAAUAUAAUAAAUGAACCAUAUUGGUAUUCUUGUAAUUAUAGGUUAAGUAGGGGUAUAAUGGACAUUUCACACCUAAUUCUUUUGCUCUUUUUGCCCUUGGUUGCAAUUUAAUAUAUAGAAGUAGAUUUUCUAUAACUCAUGACAUUUUUCAAGAAUAUUUUCGGUAACACCGUAAAAACAAGAGUAUAUUUACCGAAAGAAAAAUUCUUACAAACAGAGGAAUAUUUCAUUUUUUUGUUGGAAGGUGCAAAACUAAUAUUCCCCAGGAUCAUCUACUUCAUUCUCAAGCAGCUAAAGGGAGAAGAAAAUAUAUUCAACAAGUACUGCAUUAUAGCAUUCCCAUCAACCAACACAAAGCAAGAAAGCACCGAGAUAUGGGUAUAUCAAAUAGACCAGUCUAGUUUCAAAUAACAUACAUACAUCUCCCUUGGGUAAGCUGCCACUACAAACUUCACCCAAAUUCACAGUACCCUGCAACUGCAGUGUAUUCGACAAAAAUCCAAAAACAAGUGGCCUGUUUGACCUUGUAUAUUAUAUCAAUAUUCUCAAAGGCGUGAACUAACUUAAAAAAGCUUGAACUUCUUUGAAACUUCAAAAAAUGAUUUAAAGGAAAGCUUGAAUUCCCAAAAACAAAAAAGAGCUUCCCGUCUUGAUCCCUUUUAGAAGGAUAAACAGAACAGGCCAGUAACAAUCAGAAAAGAUGUGCCCUUCGGCUAUGGUGUGUUGGUUUAGAUUAUCUCCUGGCAUCUUUCGAAGUCUUGGCCAAAAGCUUGUUACCUCCACCGUUCCUCCAUACACCACGUACAGGCAAUCCUUCAAGGUUCUUAUUACCAUUGAAAGCUGCUUUUCCCGACUCUGACUCAGGUUCGGGAUCUGUGUCAGAGCUCUUCGAAUCUAAAAGGGAUGCCAUUGAGCCAUCCCCUAAUCGCACCCUAUGGAACUUUGAUGUUUUUUUCUUCUGCUUAUUUUUACCAUCUGCGGUUCCUGAAUUUAGAUUAUAUCUGUCAUCAACAGAAUGAGAACUAUUCUCCACCUUCAGCAUUGACCGAUCACUUGUCCUCGCUACUGUUUGUGGUUCAUUUAUGAUGACAUUUGAUUUUCCCCUUGCAGCUCGAUAACCAUCCUUCGAUAAUAUCUCCACCUCGUCUUCUACAGGGGCCUUGUAGUUUGACUGCAGCUUUCGUACAGUGCUUAUAACCUCGUCUGCCAACUUAUCCUUUGAACUACUACUUGACGCACCAAUAGACUUCCCUUUGCCUUUCUUGUCCCCAUUACUUUGUUUUAAGCUCAUGCCUCCAUUUUCUCGUAUAUUAUUAUUGGUUGAAAAAUUGGCAUAGAAGGUAUCAACAAGGUCUCUCUGCUUCUCUGCAUCCGGACAGAGCUUGGCUAGCUCAAGAACAAGAUGUGUUAGACCAAACUGAUGCACAUGCAUUAAAUAUGUGCUAGCAUCCAUUAAACCUUGGCGAAAUUCUCCAGAUAUUUCUUUGAAAGCAAUGUAUUUGUCUUGAUCAAAUGAUAGACCUGCAUGUAUCCUCUCCACCAAAGACUUGUUGGCAGUUUGCACAUCUUCAACAUUUAAAACGGCCUGUAAAUUCAAAGGUUGCUUCUUCAUUGCAGAAACAGGAGGAAAGUCAGAUUCAGAAGAACCAGCUUCAACCAGAUUUGGAGCUGACGAGGAAUGGAUAAUCCUGCUAGA
rnacentral:lncRNA from 1 species